rnacentral:rRNA from 1 species
GACGGAGGGUGCUAGCGUUGUUCGGAAUGACUGGGCGUAAAGGGCGCGUAGGCGGCUCGUGAAGUCGGGUGUGAAAGCCCGGGGCUCAACCCCGGAACGGCAUCCGAUACUGGCGGGCUUGAGACCGGGAGAGGAGGGUGGAAUACCCAGUGUAGAGGUGAAAUUCGUAGAUAUUGGGUGGAACACCGGUGGCGAAGGCGGCCCACUGGUCCGGUACUGACGCUGAGGUGCGAAAGCGUGGGGAGCAAACAGG